GACGAACGCUGGCGGCGCGCUUAACACAUGCAAGUCGAACGGAAAGGCCUGCUUUCCCUUGUGGAUUGCGGGUACUCGAGUGGCGAACGGGUGAGUAACACGUGAGUGAUCUGCCCCCAACUUGGGUAUAAGCCUGGGAAACUGGGUCUAAUUCCCGAUAGGACUGCAGGGUGGUGCCUGUGGUGGAAAACGAUUUUCUAGUGGUUGGGGAUGAGCUCGCGGCCUAUCAGCUUGUUGGUGGGGUAAUGGCCUACCAAGGCGGCGACGGGUAGCCGGCCUGGGAGGGUGGACGGCCACAUUGGGACUGAGAUACGGCCCAGACUCCUACGGGAGGCAGCAGUGGGGAAUAUUGCACAAUGGGCGGAAGCCUGAUGCAGUGACGCCGCGUGGGGGAUGACGGCCUUCGGGUUGUAAACUCCUUUCGACCGCGAGGAAGCCACCUGGUUGGAAGGGUGGUGACGGUAGUGGUAGAAGAAGCACCGGCUAACUACGUG
rnacentral:rRNA from 1 species